rnacentral:rRNA from 1 species
UACGUAGGUGGCUAGCGUUGUCCGGAUUUACUGGGCGUAAAGAGCGCGCAGGCGGUCGUUCAAGUCGAGUGUGAAAGCCCCCGGCUCAACUGGGGAGGGUCACUCGAUACUGAUCGACUCGAAGGCAGGAGAGGGAAGCGGAAUUCCCGGUGUAGUGGUGAAAUGCGUAGAUAUCGGGAGGAACACCAGUGGCUAAGGCGGCUUUCUGGCCUGCUCUUGACGCUGAGGCGCGAAAGCUAGGGUAGCAAACGGG